GUCUCCCUGUGCGCUGGAUGGCCAUUGAGUCCCUGAACUACAGUGUCUAUACCACCAAGAGUGAUGUGGCAAGGUCAUGCCCACCUGAGGAUCUUACCAGAGCAUGACCCCCAAGACUCCCUCUCUGUGCCCCCUCCCCUGCAGACAGCCCUCUUGGCACACUCCUCCUGUCUCUCCAGGGAUGUCCAUCUUGAUCUGAACCUACCCCUUGCCCCAAGCCCUUUGGCCUUGCCUGCAUGGCUCACUGCUUACCACACUGAUCGCUCCUCUGACCACUACAUGCCUACUUCCUGCUUCUGCCCCAACACUCCCUUGAUUCCCUCCACCCCUUUGAACUCUCUCCCCUGGUCUCAGGGCUGAUGCACACUACACAGAGGCUGUUAAAGUGUGAGAUGCAGUCAAGAGUAAGAGCUUUGGAGCCUGAGUUGGAAUGCUUGCUCUGCCGCUAACUAGCUGUAUGGCCUUGGGCAAUCUAGCUAACCUCUCAGUGCCUCAGUGUCUUCAUCUGUAAAAUGGCAAGACUAAUAGAACCUGUAUCAUAGGGUUGGUGUGAGGGUUAAAUGAAUUAACAUGUCUGUUAAAUGACCAGUGCCUGGACCACCGUAAGUGCUCAAUA
rnacentral:sRNA from 1 species